rnacentral:lncRNA from 1 species
UCAUCUCAUUUUCUCCUAGACUUGUGCCGCAUCGUCCCAUCCCAGGGGUAAUGUUGUGCUCUCCCCUCCUCUCCAAAUCACCCCUUCAUGUCUCCAAUCGAUGGGGAGCUGAUCCUUCCCCAUCUCAAUAUCUCCCUCUUUGCUUUUCCAUUGUGUUGGUGCUAGGCGUGGUGUUGCAGGGAGGAAGAAGGACGAACGGGGAGGAGCAGAAAAGGAAUAUAAAUCUCGUUCCCUAAGGUAAUGCACGAGUUAAUCCUUCCCUUGUCGCCCUGCUGUUUCGUUGCCUUAGUUGCAAUCGUUAGGAAAUGGCAAGAAUCGAUUCAGCUUUGUCUGUUCGAUUGGGGCAGCAGCAGUUUGGGUACAUUUUGAGUUAGUUUCAGACCUAAUUUAUUCUGACCACUAUAAGGAAUUUAUAGGGCAUGUUUUUAUCUCUCCGUAGAAUGCUUAGACGUGAAUUUUGGUGCAGCAGGUUUUGAGAUAUGUAUUUUUGAAGUCCACUAGGUUGCUGUCUAGUACAGAAAUAGGCAAUUAGAUUGUAACCAGUUCUGAAGCAGUAGACCUCAAAAUUCAAUUAUUCUAUGAAUACAAAACUUUUAGAGUAUUGUAGGACCUUUCCAAUAAGUAUCUAUUCAAAAAUUUUCAUUCGGUUGUCGACUUUUUUGUUAUUGCAGUAGUUUCAGCAGAAAAUUCAGUUUUAGUGCAGUUGCAGUUCGGAGUUAUUUUGAGAGAUCUAGAAGUCGUCUUAGGAAAAACAUAAGGUAUAAACUUGUAGAGAAAUUUGUGAUCUUUCAAUUGAAUGGUUGGUUGUAAUUAUUUGUCGAGUACGGGGAAAGUUAUGGGGUUCUGAAUUUAGAUAGAUGCGCUCAGUUUGAAUCUAUUUCAGUUUUGUGUCAUGGUUUUGCGAUGCACUUUAGAAUAUGUUAGGUGCUGAAUCAAGCCUGACUUCAAUGUAAAGUCUUGUAGUACGUUAAUUAAGCUUUCCAUGGAGUGUUUACUCACCCAAUUUGGAUAAGUCGUUUGGGAGUUAUAGAAUUUCAAAGUCAGAUUGGUUAUUGUCCAAAACAAACCAAUUCAGUUAACAUAUACAAUGACAAGUAUUGAGGGUCUACUUUACCGAAGAUUUUCAAAUCACCUCACCUUCAGAUCAAGUGAAUGCGUUUCAGGCAUAUAACAAAGAAGAGACGAAACCAGUCUUCGCCCGAAGUGGAUAGCGAAGAAGCUUCGUCCAAGAGCACGAAUAAUGAAGAUGCACGUCGAGGCGGAAGUGCUAUCAAAUCAUUCUAUUUCUUUGUUUAGGUAUGUUGCUACCAUUCAUACCAAAAUUGUGCUUAGUAGUCCAUGUAAAUUAGGACUCUUGUACUCACUUGUUCUCACAUUAGCUAUGCCUUCUUCAUUAAAGUUCUUCCUUGUACCUUACCAUAGACUUAAGCAAUAUGCAUUGUACUCGUUAAUCUUCUUCUGUAGUCGAACUAUUGAUGUUCUCAGUCAUAGAAAUCACAUUCAACAAUCAUCUUAACCAUAUGCUUUCCUAGUUUCUAAAUUUAAAUUUGACCUUGGUAUACACCUGAGCAAAGUGCCACUACUAUUGGUAGAGUUUUCUCGAGAAGCCAUUUUGUUUUUCGGAGGCACUGUGUCGCACAGUGAUGAAAUCACCAAAGAGUGGUUCCCCUUUUAGGUUAUACAUCACAUCUGAAUAUAAGGUUAUUAGAGUUGUUUUGACUCAGGAGAGUGAAGGAAAGGAGUACGCCAUAACUUAUUUAAGCCGGAGGUUGGUGGAUGCUGAAAAAG